rnacentral:rRNA from 1 species
UAGAGUUUGAUCCUGGCUCAGGACGAACGCUGGCGGCGUGCCUAAUACAUGCAAGUCGAGCGGACAGAUGGGAGCUUGCUCCCUGAUGUUAGCGGCGGACGGGUGAGUAACACGUGGGUAACCUGCCUGUAAGACUGGGAUAACUCCGGGAAACCGGGGCUAAUACCGGAUGCUUGUUUGAACCGCAUGGUUCAAACAUAAAAGGUGGCUUCGGCUACCACUUACAGAUGGACCCGCGGCGCAUUAGCUAGUUGGUGAGGUAACGGCUCACCAAGGCAACGAUGCGUAGCCGACCUGAGAGGGUGAUCGGCCACACUGGGACUGAGACACGGCCCAGACUCCUACGGGAGGCAGCAGUAGGGAAUCUUCCGCAAUGGACGAAAGUCUGACGGAGCAACGCCGCGUGAGUGAUGAAGGUUUUCGGAUCGUAAAGCUCUGUUGUUAGGGAAGAACAAGUACCGUUCGAAUAGGGCGGUACCUUGACGGUACCUAACCAGAAAGCCACGGCUAACUACGUGCCAGCAGCCGCGGUAAUACGUAGGUGGCAAGCGUUGUCCGGAAUUAUUGGGCGUAAAGGGCUCGCAGGCGGUUCCUUAAGUCUGAUGUGAAAGCCCCCGGCUCAACCGGGGAGGGUCAUUGGAAACUGGGGAACUUGAGUGCAGAAGAGGAGAGUGGAAUUCCACGUGUAGCGGUGAAAUGCGUAGAGAUGUGGAGGAACACCAGUGGCGAAGGCGAUCUCUGGUCUGUAACGACGCGAGGAGCGAAAGCGGAGUAACAAAA